ACGCCUCCACCCACUGUGGUUCGGGGAGCCGGGCGCCUUCGGCAGGACGUACCGGGGACAGUGGGCCCCCACAGCCCUCUUGAACUCUACGUGCCGUUAGGCGGUGGAGGGAACAAAAGAUACUUCUUGUCUGAAAAAUGCUGUGAGAGCAUUAAGGUUGGACAUAAGGAUCAGCCUUCCGGCUUGGAGGACUGGGUGCAAGGUGGGUGUGACAAAGAAAAGGAGCUCAAAACUGCCUCCUGUUCCAGCCUAACCAGACCACUGCAUUUGAUGAAAUGAGUUUGCAACUUAAAAUACCACAUGUAGAAACAAGCCACUAUUCAUAAGUCAGCAGAAAAAAUGAAAUAAGGACUCAGACCCAUCACACCGGCAAAGUAGAAUUUGAAGAUUCAAAAUACCAAAAAAUUGCAUCACAAAAUGUAUGGUGACACAAAACUUCCACAUGGAGGGCCUGAGGGUUUGUGACAUCUGGACUGAUAAAAGUGAUGAUGUGGAAACACUAAUACCGAAGCAUGUGCAAGGUCAACUUGAGAAGUUGGUCCCAGCUCUGCCGCCUCUUCAAAAGUUAUCCUGUCCUGUCAGAUACAAAAGGCGCGAGGAAGCCGCACUCCCCUGGGGCUGCCAUGGUAGCAGGAGUGCUGGAGAUGAAGAGAUCACAGAGAGGGCAAAGUGAAGCUUUCUGGACUUCACCUGCCCUUAUAACCAGGGCCUUCUUCCUCCACUGCCAACCCCAGAGUGAUGAAGUCCGCAAGUUUCCCCAGGCCUCAUAGGUACAAAUGAGGUUGUAUUCGUGACCUUACUUCUCAGUUUCUUCCCCACAUCCACCCCUGCAAAGUGCCUGUGUCCAUGAGAAUUUCUGGGAGUUCCCCGGGUGGCUAAGGUUUGCUCAUGAACAAAGACAGUCAUCUCUUUCUGAGGUCUCCUGGACACUGCUGCUUCCAUGGGAUAAUACCAUUUGAGAUAUAUUCUGCUUGCCUGUCCAGAUUCUCUCCCCACCCUCCUCAGCCACGCUCGGUGUCCUGCAGCACUGAUCUUUAUGAAUUGUAUCAUCCGGCCUAUUUUGUCCUGACUUCUGGUCGGUUUCAGCCAGUGGAAGGCACUGGAGGCAGGGGUGGGAGGAGAGGGAGGUCAGUAUUUAUUCCCUGCUCCCUCCCUGUCCUGAGUUGGCUGAUUCCCCUAAGAAAGGCUACAGCUCUUACCAGGUGACCCAUAUUGUGACCACUCCCACAAGAGUCCCCUGAGGGGGAGGAGGAUGGGCUUCCUGCAGCUGCUAGCCCUGUGAUGCUUCACCACCCCUCGUGGCCUUCCCCUGGCACUGCCCACAGCGUCAUUCUUCGAACUCUCCUCAGAUGGCCACGUUAAGGUGCCCCUUGAGACCCCGACCACACAGACAUCACUGCUGUUUCCACUGGAUGCACAUCCUCAGGCCACCCUGCCUCCCCCUGGACAUCACCAAUAAUUCUACUGUGUCCUAUUGAAGCGCAGCUGCCAUAACGCCAGUGCUACGCGGGCGGGGACAUCUCUCCCUGCUCGGUUUCACUCUGCGAGAGGGGCUCAGAGAUGUAUCCGCUUGUGCCCACAGUGUCUUCUGGAAUUUUGAGUGAAAUAGUGCCUCUAUUUUACCAUGCAUGAGGCUGAAGGAGGAGUCCCAAGUGUAUGAGGUGUUGAGCUGGAAAGAGCCAAGGAGCCACGCUCUCGCUUUAGGGCUGGGGGCUGGAGCUGGGAGUUGGCUCUGCCACUAAAAGGCUGUGUGACCUUGGACAAGUCGCUUUGCUUUCAGGGCUACUUCCCUUCCUGCGUCACCGGGGUUGGGCUUGGUGAUUCUCGAACUGCUCUGGGGCCCCAGCUUCACUUUGGCCAGAACAGUUCCUAUUUGAUCUAUUUUUAGAAAUUGGGCUUUUGUGAAGACUUCUUUUAAAGUAUGAUUCCACCACUUUAGAAGUGUUUGCAAACAGCCAGGCUAGGCGAUUCUAAGAUCCCUUCCAGUCUCAACAUUUUUGAACAUAAAUCAUCCUUGUCUUCCUCAGCGAUGUGCCAGGGAGGGUCUCGUUCCAAGAAUUAAUGGAAAACUAAUGAUGAAAGACCCAUCUUCUGGAGUGCCUGGGUGGCUCAGUUGGUUAAGUGUCUGACUCUUGACUUAGCUCAGGUCAUGCUCUUACAGUUUGUGGGU